UCCAUGUCGGUCGUCUUUUUUAUUUCAGCCCCACUCGUCCCACUAGCGCGCUCCUACUAGCCGCUCGUUGCAUUCUUAUCUCCUUUAACCCCUGAAAUUCUCGUACGUUUCUGAUGGUUUUCGCUUAAUUAGAUAUUAUCACCAUGAUGUCGAUUAUAUCUACAUGUUGCACCCUGGCAUCGUGUCUUCCUGGUCUUCGGUGGUUUCAGACGCCAGUUAAUUAACUGCUCGGCACCAUCAGUCCUGUUGCCAACCGCAGAUAAAAUUCAGUCCAUGGUUAACUAAUUAAUUAGUAAAUCCGGAAAACAAAUUAAUCCAGCCGGUGCGUGUACGUCUGUCCAAAGGUAUACUAUAUGGAACCAACCGGGCAUGCAUGGUGGAUCGGCACGCACAUACAGUAUGUCUCAAGUACUGUACAUGACCUGUGACGACUCUGUGAGUAUUUUUGUUUGUAAUUAAAUAAAGUUGCUGGAUGAGCCGGAACAAGGGGAUGGAGGCCGGAUUGGGGCAUGCAUGUACAUGGUCGGCAGCAGAAAAUACCAGGUGCAGCAUCAUACGUACAUAUCGAUGGACAGCAUCAUCAUGCGGCGGGCAAAGCAUCGCAUAGCCAGCUGCACUAGCACUACGUUCCAGCAUCAUCCAUCUGCUCCCCAGCCCCAACACGACAAAUAAAAGCCGGAGAGAGAGAGAGCAGGUAUAAUAGAUAAACAGUUAUAAAUAUAUUUUAAAGAGAUAAAAGAAAAGAGAGAAAAGUAACGGGCUAUAAAUUUGUAGCCAGCUACAGCAUGGCCUUCAAGAUAUAAUGUAUGUAUGAUAGAUAGGACCAUAUAUUAAUAGUAUAG